CAAGAAAAUUAACGUUCUAGUUGAAGCAGUCAAUAUAUUAAGAGGAACUGGAAAGCCGGGCAGAAGGAAAAGGAGAAAGGGUAUUAUUAUCAAAGGGGGGCAGGCAUCUGGAGAGAGAAAAGGAAGUGGAGAAGGAGAAGGAGGAGAAAGAGGAGGAAAAAGAGGAGGAGGAAGAGGAGGAGAGAGCCUGGGAAACUGAAUCUUGAGUGAAGUGGAGCAUAGCUGAGAUCCCUAUGAAGCAGAAAACAGUUUCCACAGAGAAAGCUCUCUUCCUGAUGAUUCUAUCCUAAAGAAGAACAAUAGAAAAGGGAAGAAAAAUACUUUCUGCCAACCUAAGGGGACCUUCAGGGCGAUAAUCAACUAAAUUUGACUUGGGCUUCCAAAGCAGAAAAAGCUGAAUAGGUGAUGUUAGCAAAAUCCAUCCCACUCCCUGGCGGGGCACCCACACCCUGCCUUCCAGAUCAUCUUGUGACUACAGUAGGAACCCCUCAGCUGGCUCUGUGCCCCUUUGCUGACUCAGGACUCCAGGGCAGUGUCUGGUGAGUAAAAGCUGCUCCCCCAAACCCAUUUUCAUGUUUUGUGCGACACUGAAUUGCUCAGAAUGAGCAGACAUGAGAAGGUUGAAGUCUGUACAUUACAAUAUCUCCCCCUCCAAACUUUUUUCUCUUCCAAAUUUCCCUAUCUCUGUGGAAGACAUCAUCAUCCUUCCAUUCACCUAGGCUCACAAUUCCAGUAUCAUCCUCAACCCACUUGUCCAGCAUAUCGAAUCAUUUGCCAAAUUGUGUUUUUUCUGCCUCCACAACAUCUCUCAAAUCUGCCUUUUCUGUCUACUCACACAGUGGCCAUCCUUACUUCUCUCCUGGUCUAAAAAUAGACUCCAAAUCUCCCUCCCUGACUCAAAUUUCUCUCCUCUCCUGUCCAUCUUUCAUAGUGCUAGCCUAGGAAUUUUCCUAAAAUAUAUGAUCAGUCAUGUAACUUCUCUACUUAAUGCACUCCAAUGUUUUCCCAUUAAUUCUAAGAUUAAAUAUUAGUUCUUUUUUAUGUUAUCCUUUUAAAAACUCAUAUUUUUGUUUAAGUUUUAUAAUGAACGUAAGGAUUAGUCCACUGGUACAUGUGUGUAAUUUUUAAAUAAGUAAAUAACACAUUCAUUUAGGGGUUAUGCUCACAAUUUUCUUUCUUUCUUUUUUUUAAACUAAUGGGAAUGAGAAAUUGAAAACAUUUGGAGACCACUGAUCUUGAGAAUUCAGUUACAAGCAGCAACACUGAGAACCUGCUAUAUUUAGAACCCAUGCAGACAAUGAUGAAAGCCAAGCAACCACCUGUGUAACCUUGUGACAUAUCACUUUACUCCACUUCAGCCUGGGCAUUUGUAAAAUGAUGGGGUUGGCCCAGAUCAACUCUAAAGUCCCUGUCAGUUCUAAGAAUGUGGAGAGUGACCAGAAAACAGAAAUAAUGGUCUUCAUUCCUCAUGAGGCAGACAGAACCAAACUUCACAUGAAAGAAUAUUUAUGAAGGAGUGGCUGGGUGGUGCAAUGGAUAGAACCUCUGGCCUGGAGUUAGGAAGACCUGAGUUCAAAUGCCACCUUGGACAAUACUUAGCUGUGUAACCAUGGAUGCUUACCUCAGUUUCUUCAUCUGUAAAAUGAUCUGGAAGGAAAUAGCAAACCACUCCAGUAUCUUUGCCAAGACAACUCCAAAAUGGGGUCACAGUCAGAUACAAUUGAAAGAACCUACUGACAAAGUAUAAAUUCACUGAUGCAUCUUAAUCCAACAUUAAAAACAAUCUUCAAAUGUAUACGCUGGAUGCUUAAAGUGCGGCAAAGUUCUGGAGUGCUUGAAAAGAUGUUCUCAAGCAGUGAGGGAGGGAACUAGCUUUUAAUCUGAAGCGUGAGUUUUGAAUCAGUGUUCCAAGAAACGACUCAUGUUAAAUGAAGGAUGGGCCAAGAUCUUGUUUGGGGGAGAGGAGGCAGAUGAACCAGUUAGCAAUGGCACAUCACAUCAUAUUCAGUGGAAGCCUGAGACAAUUGUCCCCAGAGAAUCAAAUUCUAACGAAGGUCAUCUCUGUUGAACUCCCAGAAACCUCAACACUGUAGUCAGAAAGGCAGCAAGACAUAGUAGUUAGUGUUGGAUUUGGAACUUGGAGCACAUUGGUUCAAUUAUUAUCUUGGACCCUUGCUGGCAGCAUGAUCCUGGGCAAGACAUUUAACCUAGAAGAGAAUCAGUUUCUUCAUCUGCAAAAUGGGGGCACUUAUCUCUCUGAGUUGCCCUAAGGAUCAGAUGAGCUAAUGUGUGACUUAAAAUCCUAGAUAAAUAUCAGCUCCGGUCUUGAUAACCCUGGGGCUGACUCUAAAGCAGGCAGAUUAAGCUAUUGAGAAGCCUGUGACUGGGUUGCAGUUCCUUCCUAAUUUGGAAAAAAUACCUGGGGUGGAGUAAAGAGUAGCCUGAAGAAAGAGCUGCUCCCAAAUUUUCCUGCCCACAGGAUUAUUCAGACACUCCACCCUUUCCCUCCACUGUAUUACUGUGCUGUCAGGCAUUUUAAAAAUCCAGGGUACUUGGGAACAGGCAAUGGGGAUCCUGGGGAUGGCGGUGUUCUUUUGAUCUGAGCCAUGAAUCAUAUUUGCUCUGAAGGUCUUUGAGACCCACAUGUUCUGCACUGUUUGGUGUAAUAUUCUUCUUUAAAAUGUAAUCUUCUCUGGGAGCAGGUUUCUUG